rnacentral:piRNA from 1 species
UACAAAGCUCAAAACCAGUCAGCUCAAUU